rnacentral:rRNA from 1 species
UACAGAGGUCUCGAGCGUUGUUCGGAUUCAUUGGGCGUAAAGGGUGCGUAGGUGGUCUGGUAAGUCGGAUGUGAAAUCCCGGAGCUUAACUUCGGAACUGCAUUCGAUACUGCCGGACUGGAGUACUGGAGAGGAGAUCGGAAUUUACGGUGUAGCAGUGAAAUGCGCAGAUAUCGGGAAGAACACCCGUGGCGAAGGCGGCUCUCUGGGACGGUACUGACGCUGAGACGCGAAAGCGUGGGGAGCGAACAGG